rnacentral:tmRNA from 1 species
GGGGGCGUAAAGGCUUCGACGGGGAGUAUAAGCUUCGGUAAGCGAGCAGCGGCACUGUGGAACCGCUAUAAAAUCCGCAGAUCUUAAAAUUAAACGACAACAAUAAAACUGUUGCUAUCGCUGCCUAAUUAGCGGCGAUCGUUCUUGGCGGAAAUACCACGGUCUGUCAAGGGCGUUGAUGAUGUGGUGAACGUGAACAGAGCAGUGCUUUGAGCUUUGUCAUGAACAAAAAGCUACCGUAACACAAAGUCCGCUGUCGGACGCUGUGCGAGGGGAAUCAUAAUACGACAGCUGCGCUCGGAGAAAACCGUUGUAAGUGCUUUUCGGACAGGGGUUCGAUUCCCCUCGCCUCCACCA